GACGAACGCUGGCGGCGUGCCUAAUACAUGCAAGUCGAGCGGACCGAACAGGAGCUUGCUCUUGUUCGGUUAGCGGCGGACGGGUGAGUAACACGUGGGUAACCUGCCCGUAAGACCGGGAUAACUCCGGGAAACCGGAGCUAAUACCGGAUAACACCGAAGACCGCAUGGUCUUUGGUUGAAAGGCGGCUUCGGCUGCCACUUACGGAUGGGCCCGCGGCGCAUUAGCUAGUUGGUGAGGUAACGGCUCACCCAGGCGACGAUGCGUAGCCGGCCUGCGGUGGUGACCAGCCAGACUGGGACUGAGACACGGCCCAGACGGCUACGGGAGGCAGCAGUAGGGAAUCGUCCGGAAGGGGCGAGAGUCUGACGGAGCGGCGCCGCGGGAGCGAGGAGGGUCGUCGGGUCGUAAAUAUCGGUUGUUAGGGAAUAAGAAGCUUCGGUCGAACAGGGCGGCGGGGUGACGGUACCUAACGAGAAAGCCCCGGCUAACUACGUG
rnacentral:rRNA from 1 species